GAUACGUCGUUCUCCCGCCGCGACGCAAAAAGGUGGGCGGGGCGGAGAGACGCAGCGCGAGGUUUGCGCAGGCGUCGCAGCACGCGCCUUCUCAGGCCCGGCUGUGGUUGGAGCGCGACUCCGCUCGGCCCUUGGGGAGGGUCAGGGAUGGGGGGAGUUGUAGAGGCGGAGGGGACCCUGAGGGUCAUCUAGUCCAACCCCCUCACGACCCCGAGAUGAAGAGCCUCCUGCUCUCUACCUGCUCGCUAAGCUGGGAAGCCAAGUUUGAGAAACAUUGGACGUGUUUGCCCAUUAAGGAGGACACUGCACUCUUAACGUGCUCAGAGGUGCUGUUGCUCCUUCCCGUAGGGAGCCUCGAAAUUAACGCCGAAGCCUUCCAAGUCAAGUGAUAUCACUGCCUCUGGCAAAAGCUGCAUGACAUCCCAGAGUCCUUGGGAUACUUUCCUCCCAGAACUUGCAACAACUCUGACCAUGGGUGAUACUGCCUGUGGCUGAGGGGAACUGGAGUCCAACAAAAUUGGAGAGGACAUAUUUUCUCUACCCCUGAGUUAAAGGGAUACUACAUAUCAAGGAAACCAAAAUGCUUGUUUACAAAGCUAUUGUACUACCAACAUUACUGUCUGCUUGUGAAACAUGGACCACUGAUAAACGCCAUCUCCAGCCUCUCGAAAGAUUCCAUCAACGGGAUCUAUGAAAAUUUGAUACAUCACUUGGGAAGACAAGCGAACUAAUACCAGUGUACUGGAAUUAGCAAAGAUCACCCGUGUUGAAGCGAUGAUUCUUCAACAUCCACUUCGCUGCACUGGUCAUGUUGUGCGGAUGCCUGACGAUCGUCUUCCAAAGCAACUACUCUAUUCCCAACUUAAAAAUGGAAAGUGUAAUGCUGGUGGUCAACAAAAUAUGUUUAAAGUCUGUCUCAAGGCAAAUUUUAAAAAAUGUAGUAUAAACACUGACAACUGGGAAACACUGGCCUGCGAGUGCUCCAUUUGGAGAACAGCCUUUACCAAAGGUGUCAUUGGCACUCAAACUCAGGAUGCAAGGGAGAAAGGUGCUAAGAGGAAGGCACGCUUAACAAAUCCACACCGUGAUCAAUUCGCACCUGGAAACCAAUGUCCCCACCGUGGAAGGACGUGUGGAUCCAGAAUUGGCCUCCACAGUCACUUACGGGCUCAUUGUUAAAACCUUGUUUAUGGAAGACAAUCUUACUCGGCUACGAGUGAUCGCCACAGAAGAAGAAGAAGGAAGACAUAUCAAGGACAAUCUGGGGCGAGGAUGAGAGCACUAUUAAAGGAUUAGAAAUGGUGCAAAACCAAUUUCUUAAGAGACUGUUUUCCGCACCCAAGGGAACAGCAUCCGAACUCUUACACAUGGAAUGUGGAUGGCCAACAUUAACUGCAAGAGCUAUUUGCACCUGGUUUAAUUAGCUGAAAAGACUUGUUAUGCGGAAUUGGUGAACAGCCGGUAGUGGAAAUCUAACACACAAUAUUAUUUGAACUCUUUAUUAUUUCCCUAAGAUAGAGGAGAUUAUAUCUACAGACAAAUGCCAACCAAGGGAUUGGUGCCACUGGACAGAAUCACUACAUGAUCUGCAAGCGAUUAAAUUCUCUAAAUGCUCUCCUUGGUUCUCUCUUCUAAAAACAGUCCAUUUUAGAGCCAGUUACCUGUCAAAUCUCUGGCCAGCCUCACUUAGAUUUGCUUUUGCUUAGCUGCAUUUUCAAGUUAUGCCCUCCACUGUCCUGGACAGAUAAUAUAACAGGGUACUGUACAAAGAUAAGACUCUGAAUAUGUGGGCAUCUGCAGGUGGAAGACAUCUUGCACUAUUUACUAUAUUACUAUUUACUAUACCUUGGACCCAGGAGGCAAUUUCUCACCUUACAGGAAAUUUGUCUCCCCCCAACAGAGAAGAAAAGAUCAGAAAGAAGACCCUGGACAAUAUAGCACAAUAUAGUAAGGGAGACGCAGAGAUCUAAAGAGAGACCAUUAUUUGUGGCACGACACCCCUUUUGCUUGUAUUUAUUUUUUAUUCAGAUUUGCCAUGGCCAAUGGCUAGUACAACAACAUUUGGACAGGACAUAUCGAGGACAAAAAUGCCUUUUUUUCCCCAUCCUUGGAUGAUGUGGCAUGUCAGGUGAGGUAGGAAAAGGCCCGCCCAUUGGUCUCUCUAGCAACCUCUUAGGGCAUGCAAAUAGCAACCCAGGCCAGUACCAUAAGCAAGGGACUGGUUUGACUGGUUUAGCAGGUUUCCUCUCAUGAAAUCUAACCCCACAUACACAGGAUCUCAGGUUUGGAAGGGACCCACAGGUGCAAUCCAGACUGAGACCCACAAACCUGUAACAAUAUGCUACUCUGAUUAGCAAAACAAGUUGUUGUUUUAUUCCAAAAAACUGAAACAUUUUCCACACACAAAAAUAAACCUUUAUUAAUC